GACGAACGCUGGCGGCGUGCCUAAUACAUGCAAGUCGAGCGGACUGAAUGGGAGCUUGCUCUUGUUCGGUCAGCGGCGGACGGGUGAGUAACACGUGGGCAACCUGCCCGCAAGACCGGGAUAACUCCGGGAAACCGGAGCUAAUACCGGAUAACACCGAAGACCGCAUGGUCUUUGGUUGAAAGGCGGCGCAAGCUGCCACUUGCGGAUGGGCCCGCGGCGCAUUAGCUAGUUGGUGAGGUAACGGCUCACCAAGGCGACGAUGCGUAGCCGGCCUGAGAGGGUGACCGGCCACACUGGGACUGAGACACGGCCCAGACUCCUACGGGAGGCAGCAGUAGGGAAUCUUCCGCAAUGGGCGAAAGCCUGACGGAGCGACGCCGCGUGAGCGAAGAAGGCCUUCGGGUCGUAAAGCUCUGUUGUGAGGGACGAAGGAGCGCCGUUUGAAGAAGGCGGCGCGGUGACGGUACCUCAAGAGGAAGCCCCGGCUAACUACGUG
rnacentral:rRNA from 1 species